rnacentral:lncRNA from 1 species
UGGAAAGUUAGAUUGGUUUCGGUUCCUCCAACUGUAACUGUUUUUAAUAUCGAAAAGACCAUACAGCAAGGUGCAUCCAAUCUUCUUCAUAAGUGGCAAAGCAUCGGAGACAAGCUUCGUGAAGACCUUUUCCUCCAUGCUACUAUAGCAGUUGCUACCUCUAGCCCCAAUGGCAAUAAAACUAUUCAAGUUUCGUUUGCGUCAUUGUUUCUUGGCACGGCGGAGGAACUUCUCCCUAUGAUGCAAGAUAGCUUCCCUGAGUUGGGCUUAAUGCGCGAAAACUGCAGUGAAAUGAGUUGGAUCCAAUCUGUCCUCUAUUAUGGUGGCUUCUCACCGAGUGACUCCUUAGAUGUUCUACUCAGCAGGACUGCUCAGUUCAAGGGAUUCUUCAAAGGGAAAUCGGAUUACGUCAAGGAACCUAUUUCAGAAACUGGCCUGGAAGGGCUGUAUAAAAGGCUCCUUGAAGAGGAGACAUCGAUGUUGAUCUUGACACCUUACGGAGGGAGAAUGAGUGAGAUUUCGGACUCGGAAACACCUUUCCCAUACAGAUACGAGAAUAUUUUCGAAAUCCAGUAUAUUAUAACCUGGGAUGUGGAAGAGGAAACAGAGAAGAACCUAAAAUGGAUGAGAAAACUGUAUGCCUACAUGGCCCCUUACGUUUCAAACUCACCAAGAGCUGCCUAUCUCAACUACAGAGAUCUUGAUUUGGGCAGGAAUAAUCAUGGAAAUACAAGCUUUGCAGAGGCAAGUGUUUGGGGCUUCAAGUAUUUCAAGAACAACUUCAAGAGACUAGCGCGGGUUAAGACUGCAACAGAUCCCUCCAAUUUCUUCAGGAAUGAACAAAGCAUUCCUGUGCUGCAAAGAAAAAGGAACCUCAAAUAAACUUUACCACAAGAUAUUGUACAACAUAUUGGUAACAACAGGAUAGAUAUUAAUAAACUAUUUAGCAAAUUUUAAGUUACAGUCCAAAGCCUCAAAGAAAUGCUAAAUCUCAAUUUAUUGUUUGCUUCCGGUUGUAGUUUUGCCCUUUAUAAUAUAAUAUAAAGAUAUGGAUAUAUUAUACUCUGACAUACUCUUUCAAGUAAAAAAAAUUUCAGCUUGAAAUUUACACAGACCUUUACCUUGUGUUUAAUUUGUUUUAUCAAAUAAAUUAAAAUAAUAAAAUUUAAACUUGAAUUAUCUUAAUGUAAAAGUUUAAACUGCUAAAUAAAAUUUUAAAAUAUAAUUUAUAUUAUUUUUAAAAAUAUCUACAAUUCUUCCAUGCCUAGCUUUCAGCCUCUAGUCUAUGAUUGACCUGUAAGAGCAUCUCUAAUAAAAAAUGCUAUAUUGAAGAGCCAAAUGGAGAAAAUAGCUUUUUAAAUAGUAUAAAUAUAGCUUUUUUUGAUUAUGUGUAUUCCAAUGGUAAAAAGCUAUCUAGAAAAGCUAUUUAUAUUUUAAUAUAUUUCAUGUUAAAUUAAAUUUAAUAUAAUUAUAUAACUAAUUUAGAUAUUUUAUAUAUAAUAUAAUUAUGAUGUUAUUAAUUAUAUAAUUAAUAUGAGUAAUUUAUAAAAGUAAUUUAGAUAUUUUAGAUAUUUCACGUUUUUUAUGUUUUUUUUCAUUAUGGUUGUUAUCUUUUAAGUUAAUUAAUCCUACUUAUUAUUGUUAAGUGUUAGAGAAACUUUAAAAAAGUAUUAUGAAUUGAUAUCAAUUUCAUAACAAUAUAUUUAAAAUAACCAAGAAUUUUCUACAUAUUUAAUUAAAAAUACAUUACAUCACAAUAAAUAAAUCAAAGUUAAUUAAAAAUCAAAACCUCUCUUUUGCAUAAUUUCUAACUUUCUAUUUUAAAAAUACCUUUUAAUUUCAGUUAAUUAACACAACCGAUGUUAAUAAUUAACCGGAGAAUAAUUAAUUCUUAUUUUUUCAAUUUUGAGAGAAGGGUAAGGCACAAUAUAAAAAUUUAAAGCUACAAGUUUUUCUUCAUGCAUUUAAGAAAAUUUCUUCUAUAUUUAAAGAAAAAAAAAAAGCUGUUGGCCAACGGCUAAAAAAAUAAUCGUUGGCCAACAGCUAUUAUUUUGACCAUUUCUACAGUUAUAUGUAGAAAUGGCUUCCAAGGAAACAAAAUAGCCAAAAUGGCUAUUUAUUUAACUGCUCCAUUGGAAUGUAAACAGUGACAAAAUAAAAGGCAAAUGGCAUUUGGCUUCUCAUUUAGCAGCUUCGUUGGAGUUGCUCUAAGAGUUGUGCAUGGACUUCCCAAGGUUAGGCUCAAAAGUCUAGAAGUCCUUGUGCACAAUUGGGCCUCUUCCUGUAUGACUUACAGAGGAUCCACAGCCAUGAAUUGGACAAGGCCUCCAGAAAGCCCGUAUAUAUUCCUUUGUUCUGAGUUGCUUGAACAAGAGUUCUUGGCAGAAGAUCACAUAAAUCUGCAAUCUUUCGGUGUUUGCCUUGUCAAACACAUUCAUAGGACUAAAGAAACUAAAAAAAUAAUUCUUAACCAAUUAAAUUAUUAACCAAAUGCAGCAGAGUCAACUAAAAUCUGUUUGAAAAUGUCUGUCGUCUCAAGCUGUUUGCUCAUAUUUUCUAACCAUUCUGAAAUUCCUCAUCUACCUGACAGACAAAACUUUGAAAUUCAGAAAUAAACCAUGUGAUUGCUUUAUUUGUCUAUUAUUCAACUUCAGUUCUCAAUCACCAUCUGAAAGCUCCAUAUUCCAUUAUUGAUUGCAUCAAGUCACGGACCAUUACUUGGUACCAUGACAUAAGGUUUAUGCAAAAAUAUCAUCAUCAUCUAAAAUGUAUAUGUAAAUUUUUAUUUUUGUAUAUAAAAAAAUCCAAAACAAAAUUCUGAAUAUGAUGAUCACUCGGGUUAUGGACUCAAUUGAGCUCAACAAUUUUUAUAUAUAUAAUUUUGUAUCUAAAAUAAAUACCUAUAAAAUCAAUAACCAACAAAAUAUCUAAGUGAUUGGAAAAAAAAUCACACUUAAAUAAAUUACAUUGCUCAAUUAAUAAUCAACCAAAUAUGAUGAAAUUAAAAAAAAAUGCAAUUGUAAUGGAUAUAAUUGGACAAAAAAAAACAAAAAAAACAUAGUCUCUCAAGACUAUGAAGGCCUAGAGUUCCUAAGCCUCCAGAAAAGGCACAAGCACACUUGGACUUGAAGUAGCUCACUACCUAGAUUUUGGUAACCUCUAGUCGCAGGAAAAUCAUGUUGGUAUGCUUCAGACCAGGAGAAGUUCACUUUCAAUCAUAUUUUGAUCUGAAAAAAAAAACCUCUAAACACCUUUUAAAGUAUAUCGAUAACCUCUAACAAUCCAAGAAUUGGCUUAAAAACUCACAAUCAACUUAGAACAAAAAUUCUUUUCGGGUUCAGACCUACAAUUUCAAGGAAAAAUAAAACACCAAACCACCCAUUUUUAUGGUUGGAAUCGGUCUUAACAGAGACUCUCUCUAUCUAGCACAAGAAUUCUCCCAUUUUCUCUCAUCCCUCAAACUAAGGACCAAAAAAUAAUAAUAAAAAUGAAGUUUGGGAUCAAAAUUAAAUUUCAUAAAUUGUUAGGGACUGAAAGUUUAUAAUUAGAAAAGUUGGAGUACCAAAAUGUACAUUUAGUCCCAAGUUUAGAAAAACCAUCUCUUUUUGCUUCUUUUUUCAUCUUAGUCCUUUAUCUUUAAAUCUUUCCUCUAUCGCCAUUAAUUUUGGCUUACAAAAGUGCAAUAAAAAAAAUGGACCAGGAAAAAAAAAAGAGACAAAUCACUAGGGUAAUUUACAGUGAUGUGAACACUGACUUAACAAUAUUUUCCCUAUGGAAUGUAGAACAAGUAGCGGAAGCAUACAUGCUCAAGAGGGAUCACCCGAAAUUCAAAGGCAACUGAAUUUCGGCAGGCGGGGCGUCGAAGUCGGAAUGCCGCGAAACUUACCGAGUCAAUGCAUUUUGCCGUUUGCGGAGGAAGUCAGCGGCUAUGCCCUUGAUGUCCACCAGUUUUUGGCCAAAUUCCAUCGUUUCGGCCACGAAAUUGUCAUUUUUGCCAUUUUUGGAAAGUUUCGUUUUAGCCAUAACUCUUGAUUUCCGAGUCCGAAUUGACUUUCGUCAAUUCCUGUUUGCUCAGGAUUUAUAGGCCUUUCAUAUUCUGCAUUUAUCUCAAAUUUGCCAUUUAUGGUAAAUUUAAUGUUUUGUGUCGUUUCCUUAUCCGUCAUGGGUUAGGUUAGAGUUUUGCUUUAAAUACCAUUAUAAAGCCUCUAACCGAUGGUACCUAUUGAUUAUUGAAUAAAAAACCUUGAGUUUUCUGAGAGUUUCUCUCGUUGUAGAUCAUUUACGGAAUAUUGACGUUGGUCGUAUUCAUUUACUAUUUUCUGCUGCGUCAAUUGGUAUCAGAGCACGGAUUUGCCAAACUCAAUGGCGAAUAACGAAGCAAGAGACGAAAACUCUAUUGGCGGAGACCAUGGAGUAGAGGCCUUGUGGGCGGCAGUGGAGGAGACGCGGCAACAAGUAGCGCAAAUUCGCGAGAUGCUUGCUGCCGGGAUUAACCUCAACGCCAAUAACAGGCCACCAGUUAACAGGGCUCGCACCGAAGGAAUUGCCAGAGGCCAACCUGUUGAUAGAGGACACAACCCAGCACCUCGCAUCCAACCUGACAGCGAGGAUGAUUCAGAUGAAGAAGAUGACAUGGGAUACGGUUUACCUCCACCUGCGAGACGUCCGAGGGAGCAAGAUGAUUAUCGCCUGAAAGCAGAUCUGCCUAGUUUCAAUGGGAAUCUACGAAUUGAAGAUUUCUUGAUUGGGUUACCGAAGUGGAGAUAUUCUUUAAGAUGAUGGAGAUACCAAAAGAAAAGAUGGUGAGGUUUGUAGCCUUUCGAUUGAAGGGAAGGGCUGUAGUAUGGUGGGAUUAAUUACAGAAGAAUCGACAGCGACAAGGAAAGGCACUUGUAAGGACUUGGCGUAGGAUGAAGCAACUGAUGAUAGGGAGGUUUCUGCCACUACAUUAUAAACAAUAUCUGUUUCAAUUACUUUAAGACUGCGGAGUUUGAUUAUACUGCGGAGUUCUCUAGACUCUUAGAGCGAAACAAUCUUAACGAGACAGAGGGGCAAUGCGUAGCCAGGUAUAUGAAUGGAUUGAAAUCGUCAUUGCGAGAUAAGAUUGGGUUAUAAGUGAUUUGGACUGUGGAGGAAGCUCAUAAUCUGGCAUUGAAGGCUGAACUGAUGGAGCGAAGAGGAGGAGUCUCAGGGUUUCGCCGAAACAAUCCAGAGUCUUCAUUUAAUACCAGAGACAAGGGUGGCAACAACAGCCAAACAGGCAUGUUGAAUCAGAACAAAGAAGGAGGCAGCAGCAGCAGCCAAGCAGCCCAAGGCAACAAGAAUAUACCUAGAAAUCCAAAUCAGAACACGAACACGAACUUGAAUCCCAACCCUUACGCCAGACCUGCACCUGGAGUCUGUUAUCGCUGUCGGAAACCUGGGCAUCUCUCUAACACUUGCCCAGAUCGUUGCAGACCUGUCAACUAGAUCGAAGGGGAAGAAGGGGAUCCAGAGGCUAUUGUAGAUGAUGCAGGGGAGGAUGACUGUUAUGAGGGGGUAGAGUUCGCUGAGGAGGAUGGAGAACGAAUCAACUGUGUAGUGCAGCAAAUAUUAUACACUCCAAGGCAAGAGGACGCAGGACAACGGAAUAAUAUCUUCCGCUCAUACUGCACCGUGAGCCAGAAGGUGUGCGACUUAAUUGUGGAUAGCGAGAGUUGCGAGAACUUCGUUGCAAGGAGCCUAGUUGAACACCUAUAGCUACCAACCGAGAAGCACCCGACUCCAUACACUAUCGGCUGGAUCAAGAAAGGACCCACGGUGAAGGUAACUGAAAUUUGUCGCGUUCCUAUUUCCAUUUGAAAAAUAUAUAAAGAUGAAGUAGUUUGCGAUGUGAUUAAUAUGGAUGCUAGUCAUGUGUUGUUGGGUCGGCCGUGGCAGUAUGAUGUUGAUAUUACCUACAAGGGCCGGGAUAAUACUUAUUUGUUCACGUGGGGGUCACAUAAAAUUGUUAUGGCUCCUUACAAAAGGAAGGCACUAUCCGGUAAGGCUUCUGAAGUGGAGAAGCAAUCAUUUUUUACAGUGUCCAGUUCGGAUACAGAGUUUAUGGCAGACAUCAAGGGUUCUAUGCGCUCGUAGUGAAGGCCCUCGUGGUGGAAGGGGAAGUUGAGGCUUCGGUGACAGUCCCGGACAGGCUGAAACCAUUGAUAGAUCAGUUCAGGGAUAUCACUUCGGAAGAUUUGCCGAAUAAUCUACCGCCCUUGAGGGAUGUCCAGCACCAUAUAGACCUCAUACCAGGGGCCAGCUUGCCAAAUCUGCCUCAUUAUCAGAUGAGUCCAAAAGAGAACGAGGUCUUGAGAGAGAAAUUGAAGAGUUGUUGCAGAAGGGUUUUAUCUGCGAAAGCAUGAGUCCGUGCGCGGUUCCUACGUUGUUAACGCCAAAGAAAGAUGGGAGUUGGCGUAUGUGUGUGGACAGCCGAGUUAUCAACAAGAUAAUCAUCAAGUAUCGCUUCCCAAUUCCCCGCCUAGAUGACAUGUUGGAUCAGCUUGAGGGUUCGAAGUUAUUCUCAAAAAUUGACCUUCGCAGUGGAUAUCACCAGAUUCGGGUCAGACCAGGGGACGAGUGGAAGACAGCAUUCAAAAGCAAAGACGGGUUAUAUGAGUGGCUGGUUAUGCUGUUUGGGUUAUCAAACAUGCCCAACACUUUUAUGCGCGUGAUGAAUCAGGUAUUGAGGCCUUUUGUGGGGAAAUUUGUUGUCGUUUAUUUCGACGAUAUCCUUAUCUAUAGUAAGACCGCGGAUGAGCAUGUGGAGCAGUUACGGGAUGUGUUGGCAGUGCUACAAGAGAACCAGCUAUUCCUUAAUCUGAAAAAGUGCAGCUUUAUGACGGAUAGGUUGUUGUUUCUGGGUUAUGUGGUAAGUUCAGAGGGGAUUCAUGUGGAUGAAGAGAAGGUCCGAGCAAUUAGAGAAUGGCCUGCACCAAAGAUCGUGGGUGAAGUUCGGAGCUUCCAUGGAUUAGCCACUUUCUACUGCCGAUUUAUUCAGAAUUUCAGUACUGUCAUGGCACCGAUAACCGAGUGCAUGAAGAAAGGCAAAUUUCAGUGGGGGGAAGAGGCAGAAAUGAGCUUUGCGUUCAUAAAGGAGAAGCUAUGCACCGCGCCAGUAUUGGCCCUACCCAGUUAUUUUCAAAAGUAAGUAAUAGAGAAUAAAUUUCUUCAAGGGUAAUGUCAUCAGUGCGUGCUGAUAUAGAGGCCACAAAACUGUUAUAUUCAUGGCUGAGUCCUGCAAGAAUAUAUGUUAUAAUAUCAUCAUGAUUCAGUGGUUGUCCAGCAACGGCUAAUUCAUCUGUGAGUCUUUUGAUGUAAUGGAAGUAAUCAGUGGCUGUUUUGCUUUCUUUCGUUGCAGUUGCAAGUUGUGUGCAAAUUUGCAGGAUGCACGCACGAGAACGAGAUGAAAAGGUGUCAUCCAAUGCAUUCCAUACAUCCUUGGACGAUGUAUAAGUGACAACUUGAGCAAGUAUUCGCUCUGACAGAGAAGUCAUAAGAGUACUUAGAAUAAGAUUGUCCUGACGAACCCAUUGAGAGUAGGCUGGGUUUAGACGUUCAGAAACAACAGAAGUUUCAGGGUGAGUAACAGAGAUGAUUUUAGGUGGUUUGGGAAUGCUACCAUCUAUAUAACCAAAAAGAUCUUGACCUCUAAAAUAUGGUAUAAGCUGUGCUUUCCAGAGAAGAAAGUUGUCAUGGUUGAGUUUGACAGUAGCAACAGAAAGCAUGGAAAUGACAGGGGAGAGUUGGAGUUGCAGGAGAAGCAUUUGAGGAGGACAUUUAGACGUUAGUCUUUUAUUGGCUCUGAUACCAUGAAAGAUUAAAAAUAGCUGAUUGUAUUAAUCAGAGUUCUACACUUUUCUCACUUAAUCUAUUCUCUACAUAUCCUGAUGUAUAUAUAGUAUUAUAGUGACAACUUCUAACAUAUACAUUGAUGUGGUUGGCAACAGCUGUAGAUUUUGAAUUCAUGAGAUCAUAUCUUCCAACCAUUUAUCUGCUGCUGCAUUCAUGAAGGUUGCUGCAUUCAUGGAGGAUAAGUUGUAGCUGCUUCAAUCACUGGUUUGAAUUACUGGUGGAUCAGAGUCCUGAUCUUCAUAGGAUUGUUUGUCAUGAUCUUCUGCAAUUCUUGUUACUGCAUUCACGGGUGGAUCAGUAUCUUAACCCAUGAAUUCAGUAACCAUUACUUGAUCUUCUACAAUAAUUCAACUAGUAUUUCUCAGUACUAAAAGAUUCCAUCCGAUUAAGAAAUCAAGUUUAUACAUCAAUGUUUUCCAAGUAAGAUGACACUGUCAAAGUAUACAUAAUGGUGCACUCAAAGGAGUUUUUCUCUUGGAUUACGCUGGUUUUCAUGGCUUCUAACCAAAAAAGAAACAUUAUGAUAAGCAAGCAUGGAUGCUAAUGACUUGCUGUCUGGACAUUAAUUUGAUUCCCUUACAUACAGAUGCUGACAAGAAAUUUGUUGAUAUAACUUGGAAUCUUAUUCACUGAUCACCAAAUAAAUUAUUACAGCUCCCACUAUGAGAUCAUAUGUAAAUAAUUAAUUAACAAUGUUGUCCUUGAGAGGUUGUGGCAGUUAAAAACUGAUUUGGAUAAACAUAAAAUAGUACAAAAGAAGUCUUCCAUACAUACUGGAUAACGAAAUUAAUUGCUCAAAAAAUAUUUUAUUAUCUGAAGAUGUGAGAAUAACUUUUUAUAUCCGUUAUUCUCUUCUGUAUUAUUAAAAAAACAUUUUAAAUAAAACUGUAAAUUAAAUAGAAAAAAAAUCUGCUUACUUUUAGUGGUCAAGUCCAUGCAUCUCUAGCAUGUCGCCAUGAAAAGAGUGUUACAACACUAUCUUGUGUUAAUUUUGAUUAGAAAAAUGAUAGUAUAUGAAGAUUUUGAUACCAUGCCAGAGAUUCAACAUCUUGAACACACAAUAGCUAGUUUAUUAGAUCACUUUUUCUGUAAAACUUGCGAACAGGACAUGUUUCUUUAAUAUUUCUGAACUAGACAAAACUAAUAAAAUCAAAUUCAGUACAAUAUUAUUCCCAUAAAGACACAUAUAUGAUGAUGCUCCAACCAAUUAUGUCUCUAGCUAAUGAAUCCCAUGAUGUCCCCUUCCUUUUCUUUUUCUCGAGGAGACUGGAAGAGGUGGGAUGCUCUGCUCAUGCCUGAAGAAGUUGUCAGGAUCAACCUUGGUCUCACUUGUACCAGCCUGUUGAAGUUAUCUUUGAAGUACUUGGCGCCCCAGACACUGGCUUCAAUAAAGCUUGUGUUGCUCCCCUUGUUAAUCCCCAAAUCAAGGUCCCUGUAAUUGACAUAUGCUUGCCUUGGAAACAUGGAAACAUAAGGCGCCAUGUAAUUGUAAAGCCUCAUGAUCCAAUCUAUAUGCUUUGAAGCAUCCUCUGCAGCAUUUUGCCAUACGGUCAAGUACUGAAUUUUGAAAAGGAUACCUUUUCUAUGUGGGAAAGGAAUUGAUGACUCAGAAAUUUCGCUCAUCAUUCCACCAUAAGGAUUCCAUAUCAUGAAAGGAGUCGCUUCUUCAAAAUACCUCUCCCAUAUCCCCUCGAGUGCUGUUUCGGGUAUGGGUUCUGUGACGAAAUCUGACUUGGCUUUGAGGUAGAUCUUGAAUGUUGACUUGCCUUGAAGCAAAACUUCAGGAGGAGUGUUGGCUGGGUAGCCUGCGAUGUACAGCACAGAUUUCAGCCAGGUGGUUUCGGUGCAGUCCUUCAGCGUCAAACCCAAUUCAGGGAAGCCUUGCUCCAUGACAUUGAGCAGUCUUUUGGCAUCACCUAGAAACAAUGCAUUAUAGGAAGUUGUGACAGUUCUUUUACCCUUCGUAGCACCAUCAGCUGCUUGAAUUAGAACCCUGAUGAAGAGAUCCUCGUCAAGUUUAUCAUCAACUUGCUGCCAUCUGUAGAGAAGCUUCGUGCCUCCUUGUUCCAAGGUCUUAGUAACCGUAAAAACAGUCACAGUUGACGGAACAGGAACCAGUUUUACUUUCCAGGCAGUAAUGAUACCAAAGCUGGCUCCUCCACCGCCUCUAAUUGCCCAGAAAAGAUCCUCUCCCAUGUCCCGUCUCUCAAGAACCCUGCCACUAGCAUGGAUUAUCCGAGCAUUGAUAGCAUUGUCAGCACCAAGGCCAUACUUUCUCAUCAUGGAACCAUAGGCACCUCCUGUAAUGUGUCCACCAAUGCCUAAACUGCUGCAAAGGCCACCUGGGAAGCCAUGAGCUUCGCUUUUUUCUGCAAUUCUGUAGUAAAGCUCACCGAUCGUUCCUCCUGCCUGAACCCAUGCACUAUUAUCUUCAAUGUCAACUUGGACAGCUCGAAGCUUGGCGAGGUCUACAACAAUGAAUGGUGUUUCAAUUUCAGUGGCAUAAGAGAGACCCUCAUAGUCAUGGCCUCCACUGCGGACUCUAUGGUGAAUUCCAAGCUGCUUACAGCAAAUAACAGAUGCCUGGACAUGGGCUUCAUACAGAGGAGUGAAAAUAAACUCAGGUUUUGGCACCGAAGGCAACAGGUACCUCAGGUUUUGAGCGGUGGAUUCCAAAGCAGCAUUGAAUGAAGAGCUGUUGUCUGGGGUGUAGAAAUAUGAGGCAGGAAUGACAUAUUCUGAAUUUUGUGAGAGACACUGGACAAAACUAUCUUUAAUUGGAAGUAAUCAUCAUAUUCAAUUCAAUAAACAUAAUAAUAACUUACAAAAUAAAAUGGUUGAAUAAACAUACCACAAAAUGUUGAGCGCGGCUAUCAACGAACUGUUGCACCCCCUUUUGACGGUCUUGACUCCGCACGUGCGUCUCCACAAACAGCUCCAUAGGGCUCGGCUCACAUCCAAGAGACGUAGCCUAUAAUGAAAAAAAAAUAUUAACAACAAAUUAAUUGAACGAUAUAUUUCAUUUAAAUUAAUCUUACCAUCCGUUUUGCAUGUGCAGCAAACGGAACGGAGCCGCCGGUGUGCGUUGUCACCGAGCCAUGAAUGGGCCGGUUCCGGUUGCCAGCACCGGACUGUGAGCGUUGUGUGAACCGCUCAGACGUCACGUGCUCAAGAUAGUGCGGCCAUAUAUCCUCCGGGAUGUAUAUCGGUUUGAAAUCCCUCCAAACCGCAACAUCGUUCCAGCCUUGGAACCCCCUAUCCCUCGCAGUUUUUUUUGUCUUUUUUUGGGCUUCGUACCAAAAAUCACGCAACCUACUUAACGCAAUAAAAAAUUACAUUUCAAAACAUAAAUUUUUUUUGUAAAAAAAAGUUGUAUUGUUUUCGAUGUUACCUAGUUGCCGCGUGAUUUUCCCACACCCUCCUCACAACACUGUUAUGUUCGUCGUUCCAGCAGAAUCAAUUCUGUGUAUAAAAAAUAAUUUUUAAAAAUGUUAAUAAUUUAUUUACAAUUAUAUUAAGAAUUUAUUAGAAAUAAGCUGAAAAUUAUAUAUUAACACGAACCUCAAAUCUAGAAAACCAUGCAUUGAUUUGAGGCAUCCAUUCAGGAUGCUUGGAUAUCUGACUUCAUUGAAACAAUGGAAUCUCCAUCGACGCUUUAAACGCCGAUGAUAUUACUCGGGCGGCCUCAAUGUUUGUGAACCUGAAAAGAAUUGAAAUUAAUUAAAUAGUGACUUCAUAAAUUUGUUUUUAAAAAAAAAAAAAUUAAAACCUUAACAAACUUACAUUGAAAGAUCGUCCUUCCAUUGUGCCUCGUUCUUGCGGGUCCAUCGAUUCCACUGCGAAGGCAUGCCGCUUCUGCGACGUGAAACAUCGCUGGAAGAGGCAGCAUCAGCUGACGGCGCAAGUGGUGUAGGUGCCUCUUCUUGAGAGGCACCUAAGGAAAUGUGUUCGUCGCUGCUAGACGAACUUGAUGCGACCGGACGUGAAGCUCUGGAUUUCAUUCUGUGCAUCUAACCAAUUUUAUAUAAAUAAAUAUAUAAUUCAAUUGAAAUGUUAAAAAAAAUUUGGCAGCAAACCUGCAAAUAUUAACAAUAGCCACAACCAAUUGACCCAAUCUAUACUAAUUAUUCCAACAUAUUCAAUUCCUAAGGUAAAUUCAACAUUCACAAUUACAAUUCAACAAAUUAUUCAAUAAUUAUGUCAAUACAACAAAACUAUAAAUUCAAAAUAAAUAUAAACAAUUAAACACAAAUCAUCAAGUUAGAGUAAAAUUAAUAAUUCUUCCAACAUAUUCAAUUACUAAAUCUAAGAUAAAUUCAACAUGAACAAUAUUAAUUCAACAAAUUAUUAAAUAUUCAUUAUGGCAAUACAACAAUAAAAUUAUUCUAAAGUAAAUUCAACAUUAACAAUAUUAAUUCAACAAAUUAAUCAAUAAUUAUAUAUGGCAAUACAACAAUAAAUUAUAUUCAAUAAAUUAAAAAAUAUAUAAACUAACAAUUAAAAUCAAUGGAAAUAAUUAAAUACAAAUCAUGCAAUAAUAGAGUAAAAUUACUAAUUAUUCUAACAUAGUCAAUUACUAAUUCUAAGUUAGAUUCAACUUUAACAACAAACAACCAAUAAAUUAACUAAUACCAAUAUUUGGUAUUUAAACUUUUGACAUCGGUCCUUUUCUGUAAAAAGAGACGUGCCGACAAACAAUAUUCGUUUAUAAAACAAAAAUUAUUCUGAUAUCGUUGAGAAAUGGGUAUAACCAUAUUCGAAAAUUGGGCUUUGGACCCACGAACGAUAACAUGAUAGGAUGGGUGUUGGACCCGCGUCGUUUUUCCUUUUAUAUUUAUUUUUGUUUUUUUUUUUUUCACAUGCAAGAAAAUUUAUAUACAAAAUAAAAAUGUUAGAAAUCCAAAAACAAUUACCAAAGUACCACUUUUAUAGGUAAAAGACGAAAAUGCCACUGGUGGCGCGUGUGGCUCACGCGCAGUUACUGUUGGCGGCGGUGAAAUUUUCCGGCGAGAUUCCUGGCCAACGAAUGGUCGAUUCUGGUAGAUCCGAGGUAGAGGAUUCUGAUGAUGGUGGUCUCGACGGCAGUUGAUGGCUGACGAGGGAGAAUCGACGACUUGAAGCUUCGGUGGCCGGUGAUGAUCGCAGCCUUUUUCCGGCCAGAAGAAGCGGCGAAAACGCUGUAAAAGGCCUGUGUUUUGCUUUAUACGAGGUUGGCGACCUUUCUGUGGUGGUUUGGAGGCUUGAAACGGCGGGAGAUGGGAGAUCGGAGGAGAGAGAGAGAGAGUCGUGGGCGAGAGGAGAAAGAAGCUUUGGGUUGUACUAUAGUGUGAAUGCUAGCACGGUACACCGGUGCAGCUGAAGUCUGUGAGCCAUUGGAUCUCUGAUUAAAAGAUCGUGCGGCUGUAAUUGGCUCGAUCUGCAGGUUGAUCGGACGGUCCGGAUGAGCAGAGGUUUGAUAUGGUGUGGCGCGGUGUACUGAAAGCUUGGAACACCUGGUGACAUGGCACAACAGGAUCAAAGCUUAGAUUAUUUCAAGGGCUGAGAUGUGUUUGGGUUUUAAUCUAGUGUGCUAAGCCGUAUUGUAUCCUAUUAAAUCAAAGGUCCACAACUAACACUAUUAGAUCUAACGGCUAGGAUAUUUUUGGUAUUUUUCAAAUUGUUUUUUUUUUAAAUCAAUAUCUUACUCUCGUGAAGAAAAACUAACAAAAAUAUAAAUAGUACAUUGAUUUCUUCUUCUUUUUUUUCUUCCCCUUUUCCUUUCUGCUGUCGUGGCUAUUUAUAGUCAAUAAGCAGGGGACAGCGAAUUCAAUUCGCAGGAAAAAAUGCACCGCUGCAACUAACCCAUACCUACUAUAAUAAAUUCUGAAUAAUAAAUAAUUAUAUGGGUAAAACUAAAAAACUUAAAUCAGUAUUAGAAAAAGCCCAUUUCAACCGCAAAAAAAAAAAAUUUAUAUUGGAACACAACAAAAAAAAUAAAUUGAUGGGUAUCAACCCGGUGAACCGGGUUUUGACCAAAAAAUAAUAGUUUUGACCCGAAACAGCCUAAAAACUCAUUUUUUUUAUCCCGGUCGACAUGGUUUGACCUGUAUUGACCCGGUGGACUCGGUUUUGAUCCAAAAUGACGGUUUUGACCGAAAAUGACGGUUUUAACCCGAAACAUCAUGGAAACUCAUUUUUUACCUCGGUCGACUUGGUUUGACCCGUAUUGACCUGGUGGACUCGGUUUUGACCAAAAAUGACGGUUUUGACCCGAAACGUCAUGAAAACUCAUUUUUUAUCCUGGUCGACAUGGUUUGACUCGUAUUGACCCGGUUGACUAGGUUUUGAUCAAAAAUGAUGGUUUUGACCGAAAAUGACGGUUUUGACCCGAAACGUCAUAAAAACCCAUUUUGUACCCUAGUCGACAUGGUUUGACUUGUAAUGACCCGGUGAAAUCGGUUUUUAUGAAAAAUGACGGUUUUGACCCGAAACGUCAUGAAAACUCAUUUUUGACCCUAGUCAACAUGGUUUGACCCGUAUUGACCCGGUGAAAUCGGUUUUUAUGGAAAGAUGCGGUUGACUCGAGAAAAAUAUUUUUUGAAUUUAAAAUUUUUUUUUCUAAAUGUUUUUGGAUUUUUAUGAAUAAUAAUAGAAAUAAAAUAACAUUCAAGAAAAUCUUAGUGAAUCAAAAAUUAGGUUACAACAAAAUCUAUACCCCAACUGUCAAAGAUCUCAAUGACAAGAAUAGGAUGUAAAGGCAUCAUGUGACGUUUUGAAAUAGAUCCCAACUUUUGACAAUUUUCACAAGACUUGCAGAAUGCAUGUGAGUCCUUGAACAUGGUGGGCCAGUAAAAUCCACUUUGUAAGAUUUUUGCAGUUGUCUUUUUCGAUGAAAAAUGACCCCCACAUGCCUCAGAAUGACAAAAUUUAAUGACACUACUUACCUCAUUGUCAGGAAUGCAUCUUCGAAAUAUUUGAUCAGGACAAUAUUUCAACAAAUACGGGUCAUCCCAAUAAAAGUUCUUCACUUCGUUCAAGAACUUUCUUUUGUCUUGGGUACUCCAAUGAGCUGGCAAUUGUCCUGAAACAAGAAAAUUAACAAUAUUAGCAAACCAAGGCAUCGUAGAGAGAAAAAAAGAUUCAUCAGGAAAGUAGUCAUCGAUUGGUGUGAUGUCAGAUCUCGAAUCGGUUGUCAAUCUUGACAAAUGAUCCACAACAUUUUCGGUGCCUUUCUUGUCUUUGAUUGUGAUAUCAAAUUCUUGAAGUAACAAAAUCCACCGCACCAAUCUAGCCUUAGAAUCUUUCUUAGAGAGAAGAUAUUUCAAUGCUGCAUGAUCACUAAAAACAACAACAGGUGAGCCAACAAGAUAAGAUCUGAACUUGUCACAUGCAAAUACUACUGCAAGUAAUUCUUUUUCAGUGGUAGUGUAAUUCAUUUGAGCACUAUUUAAAUUUUUACUUGCAUAGUAAAUCACAUAAGGUUUCUUAUCUUUUCUUUGUCCCAAGACAGCACCCACGGCAUAAUCACUAGCGUCACACAUUAUUUCAAAAGGUAAUGACCAAUCAGGAGGUUGAAUGACAGGAGCAGAAGUAAGCAAGUUUUUAAGUUUAACAAAGGCUUCUUCGCAAUGUUCAGUCCAUUCAAAAAUAUUAUCCUUUGUUAGAAGGUUACUCAAGGGCUUAGAUAUUACACUAAAAUCUUUGAUGAACCUUCUGUAAAAAUCAGCAUGUCCUAAGAAUGAUCUAACAUCCUUAACAAAUUUUGGUGUUGGUAUGUUGGUAAUUAACUCGAUUUUAGAUUUGUCAACCUCAAUUCCUUUCGAUGAAACAAUGUGACCAACUACAAUGCCGUUUAUUACCAUAAAGUGACAUUUUUCCCAAUUCAGUACAAGAUUCUUCUCUUCACACCUGCUCAAAACCUUUUCUAAGUUAGUCGAACAAUCAUCAAAUGAAUCACCAAAAACAUAAAAAUCUAAGAAAACGUUCAACCAUAUCACUAAAUAUGCUAAGCAUGCAUCUUUGAAACGUGGCUGGUGCAUUACAUAAUCCAAAAGGCAUCCUUUGAUAUGCAAAAGUACCAAAUGGACAUGUGAAAGUAGUCUUCUCUUGAUCUUCCAAUGCAAUUUCAAUUUGAUUGUAACCUGAAUAGCCAUCUAGGAAACAAUAAAAUUCAUGACCUGCAACUCUUUCUAGGAUUUGAUCCAUGAAAGGUAAAGGGAAAUGAUCUUUUCUAGUCAUUGAAUUAAGUUUCCUAUAGUCAAUGCACAUGCGCCAACCAGUAACAGUCCUCGUUGGAAUUAACUCAUUUUUCUCAUUUGUUAUCACAGUGACUCCAGACUUUUUGGGUACAACUUGGGUAGGACUUACCCAUUUGCUGUCAGAAAUAGGAUAAAUGAUUCCAUUAUCUAGAAGCUUAAUGACUUCAUUUUUCACUACUUCUUUCAUAUUAGGAUUAAGCCUUCGUUGCAUUUCUCUAGAGGGUUUAGCAUUUUCCUCCAAAUAAAUCCUGUGUGUGUAAAUCAAAGGGCUAAUUCCUUUUAUGUCAGCUAUGGUCCAUCCUAAUGCAUUUUUGUGCAUUUUCAGAGUCUGUAAUAACUUACCUUCUUGAUGUGCAUUAAGUUUGGAAGAGAUUAUUACCGGAAAAGUUUCAUUCUCUCCCAAAAAUGAGUAUUUGAGAUUAAAUGGUAACGGCUUCAAAUCAGGUUUUGGUGGUUGAACACUUGAAGGUAUGGGCUCAAUUGAUCGUGGUGGCAAUUCUUCAAUUUGUGGUCUCCAAUUGCAUGCCUUUGAUUCUUCUUGAAAAUAGACCAUUUGCAAAUCAUCAGAUUCAUCAAUCUCAGUUUCAAUAGAAGUGGUUUGAAAUUGAUCAUGAACUAAUUUUUCAAUAAAGUCCACUUCCUGUAAAUCAUUAUUAUCUCCAGGUUGCUUGUAAAUGUUGAAAAUAUUCAUCUCCAAUGUCAUGUUUCCAAAUGAUAGCUUCAUCAGUCCAUUCCUACAAUUAAUCAAUGCAUUAGAAGUGGCAAGAAAUGGACGUCCUAAAAUGACAGGAAUUGAAUUACAGGGAAAAUCUACAGGGAAAAUGAAUUUAUCAACUUGUACUAACACAUCCUCAACUAUUCCUCUAGACACUUUUACAGAUCUAUCGGCGAGUAAAAUAGUUACAGAAGUUGGUUUUAGCUCACCUAGAUUGAGACUUUGAAAGACUGAAUAUGGAAGUAAAUUCACACUAGCUCUAAGAUCAAGUAAAGCUCUUUCAAUUUUAUGUUCUCCAAUAAAGCAAGAAAUUGUAGGACAACCAGGGUCUUUAUAUUUCAAAGCAUUAUUGUUCUGAAGAAUGGCACUUGUUCGGCUAAAAAUGCUUUCUUUUUCACAUUCAGUUUUCUCUUCACAGUGCACAGAUCUUUCAAAAAUUUAGCAUAGGAAGGAACCUGUUUAAUAGCAUCCAACAAAGGUAUAUUGAUCCUUACCUGUUUGAAAAUUUCAAAGAUUUCAGAGUUGUGAUUGACUUUCCUUUGUUUGGUCAUGGCAUGAGGAAAUGGAAGUGCUGGCGGGGAAUCAGCCUUUUCUUUGCAAUGUUCAGGUUCAACCCCUUCCUUACCCUCAGAGAUAGACUCAUCAUCUUUCUCACAAGGUUCAAGAAUGGGUUUUUCAAUAACCUUACCACUACGAAGAGUGAUGACUGAUUUGACUUGAUCCAUGUGUUGGCUUCCAGAACUACUUGCAUUUGCAUUGUAUUGCCCCUUUGGAUUUUGCUGUGGUUGAGAAGGAAACUUACCUUUCUCUUGAAACUGAGAGCAGAUGUUAAUUUUGCAAGAGCAUCUUUAAAAUCGUCAUGCUUUGAGCAAGUUGAGUGUUGAUUGUCUCCUGCUUUUCAAUGAAUGCAUGCAAUGUUUCCUCAAAUUUCUUCUAGGAGGUGGAGCAUAAGGAGGUGCAUAUCCAUGAGAAUUUUGGAAAUUAUGGUGUGCUUGAAACGGUGGCUGUGAAGUUUGUGCAUUAUUGCUAUCACUCUUCCAACUGAAAUUUGGGUGAUUUCUCCAACCAGGGUUAUGUUUGUGAGUAUGGGUUAUGGUUGGGCCUUUGGAAACUGUUUAAAGCAUGGGCUUGUUCAUGGAGGCAUUCCUAAAGAAGGCAAAGUUGGACAAUCAUUUUGAUGUUCAUUUGUUUCACAGAUUUGACACACAAUGUCUUGAACAGAUUUUAAUUGACCACUCUUUUUCAAUUCUAGUGCCUCGACUUUUCUAGCUAAAGAUGCAAACUUGGCUUGGAGGUCAUGAUCUUCCCUAAGGUUGUGCAUACCUCCACUAGAUGUAUGAGGUUGAGUUUUACUUGGUGCCUCAUAAGUACCUGUGGUGUCCCAAUUUUGAGCAUUUUCGCUAGCAAGUCUAGGUACUCCAUUGCUUCAUUAGGGUCUUUAUCUUCAAAGUUCCAUUGCACAUCAAUUCAACCAUUUGCCUAUCUCUAGGUGUUAAACCUUCAUAAAAAUGUGAAACCAAUCUCCAUGUUUCAAAACCAUGAUGUGGGCAAGUAUUAAGCAAAUCUCGAUACCUAUCCCAACAUUGGUAAAAUGUUUCUCCUGGCUUUUGAGUGAAAGUGAUGAUUUGUCUUUUGAAAGAGUUUGUUCUGUGAGAUGGAAAAAACUUCUUUAAAAAUUGUUGUUGCAUUUCAUCCCAAGCACGAAUGGAUCCUGGUCUCAAAUUUUAGCCAUGUUUUAGCUUUAUCUUUUAAUGAAAAAGGAAAAAAGCUUUAAUCUAAUGGUGCUCAUGCUACAAUUUGAGUCAUUAUAAAUAUUACAGACCUCCUCAAAAUCCCUUAAAUGUAAGUAUGAAUUUUCUAGGUCUAAGCCAUGAAAAGAAGGUAAAAGUUGAAUAAUGCCUGGCUUAAAAUUAAAAUGAGAUGCAUCAGGAGGGAAAACUAUGCAUGAGGGUGCACUUGUUCUUGUGGGAUUCAUGUGGUCUCUAAGUGUUCUCAUACGGUUAUUCUCAUUAUUCUCAUUAUGAAGCGAUUGAUUAUCUUCUUCAGCCAUAUUUUCUGAAAAUGAUGAGGAUACCUUACAAAGUCGACCAUUUAAUGUACGUGACCAAACUCUCGUGCACGUGUAAGAAGAGAAUAAAAGGAAGAAAAGAAAAGAGAAGAAAAAGAAACAAAACAAAAGAAACAAAAGUUAGAUAAAAUGAAAAAUGAAAAGAGAAAAUAAAAUAAAUAUUAUAAGUUAUACAAGAAUUUACCUCCCUGGCAACGGCGCCAAAAACUUGACACGACCAAAAGAUUGAUGUCUUUUCCCAAGUGCAGGAGUGUCGAAGUAAUAAAUAACCCGGCAAGACCGGGGUCAAACCACAGGGAGGUUAACUAUAUAAAUUAUAAACAACAACAACAACAAUAAUAAUAAGAUAAAGAGAGCUUUGGGAUGUGAUAUUGAUGUAAGGAUUAAACAAGCAUAAAAUAAUUGUCAAGGUUAGAGGAUCCAUUAAUGGUACUUCAAACAAGUAUAAUAUAAACUCUUUUUAUUACUCAAUUGGAAACCACACACAAAGGAGGUUCCAAUCGGAUUGUAAAUUGUUAACAUGAUUACAUUAGUUAUCUUAUUCAAAUAAUGCUAAUACUUGUAAAUGUUGUCAGGCAUUCAUGAUUAUAACUUAUGUUAACAACAAAUCAAGUUCCUUUCAUAGCUCAGGUGUCGGUUAUACCAUAUAGUAUGGGCUAUGAAAGUGCCAAGUAUUUGUUGUACCAAGUGUUAUACAACAUAAAUCUAGAUUAACCAUUUAACAAGCAAAGUAUUAAAAGUGAACAAGAUAACAAAUAUAAAACAUGUUAGUAUCCAACAUUAAGGUCCAUGUUAAGUUUAUAUUAUACUUAUUCUUACACCAUUAGUGUACCCUUUUCACCUUGACAUAAUUAACUUAGCCAAACAUAAUAAAAGAAAGAAACAUAAAUGAACAAGAUAAGAACAUAAAUGAGAAAGAAGUUAACUAAAUAAAGGAAAGGAAAUGAAAUGCAUAAACUUGAUAUUAAUGAAAGCAAAACAUAAGCAAUACAAAGAGAGAAAGCAAGAGCAUGAUCUUGGUCUGGAAACCAAGAUACCUAAAAGCAUGGAAAAUGCCUCCUUUUAUAGGCCAAAAUUUAGAACUAUUGAUUUGAUGAAUAAUUGUUGAAUGGGUGGCCACAUCUUGACUUGGUGAAAAUCAUUAUCUUCUUGUUUGAAUAAAACGUCAUUGCUAACAUCAGAACUGGAUCCAUAUGAAAUCAUAAAAGUUCUAGGAAAUUCUCUUAGCUUUCCAAGAAAAAAAAAAGUUGAGGUCAUUUGGACUUCUAGAACACAAGAUAUAGGCUGAACACUUAACAGUGUCUGGGCUGCAGGACAGAUUCGGACUUCUCCGUUGUUGCUAUAAUUUGGACUUGAAAACGGCCUUCUUAGAUUUUGUCACAUAAAGUUGUAGGCCUAUGUCUUACCAAUUGUGUAAAAAUUUGAGAUCAUUUGACAUCUAGAACUCGAGAUAUGACCAAUUACCAAAUAGUGUUCCGGUUUGGACUGCACCAACAUCUCUUUUCUAAGCUUCACCCUUCUUUAAAAAUUUCAGUAGUUGAAUUCAUCAAUCAAUCCUUUGAUUUAUGUGAUAGCCUGCAUUUAAGAUGAACAUUUACCAUAUAUUAAGGCAUUUUAUAGUAUCAACUUGUUAUUAUAAAACAUGCUUUAGUUAAGGAGUUAUUGAUACUUCAAGUGCAAAAUGAUGAUAUAAAACCUUGAUAAACAUGCACUUUUAAGUACUAAUCACACCCCCCCCCCAACCAGCUUAUUACUAGUCCCUAGUAAUCAAAGCGUUAAAAAAAAAACAAUUUGCAAGUUCCACAAAGCAAGGCAUUCAUCAUUCAACUUCCAUUAAUCUAUCCAGAUAAACAAACUCUCAUUAAAUUUAUAUUUCUGCUUCAUACUUCUUAAACAAGAUAUUAAUAAACCUUCUUUUUAUGUGCUCAAUGUAUGAAAACAUAGAUGAUGGGGCUUUUGUUGGAAGAAAACAAUAUUAUGUUCGAAUGUUUAAGGUUAACUUCCUUGGGUUGGGAUUAUUUUUUUUUUUUCUUUUUUUUUCUUUCUUUCUUUUUUUUUGCAUAUAUACACAUACAACUUAAAACACAAUGUAUCUUUAACCCAUGUAACGAGUUUUAGGCUAAUGACUCCCAGACCAGUUGGUCUUAUGGCAUUAGGUGUUGAGACACCCCUACGAGCUUAGCAACUCGGGUUGCAGAUACUGAUACGUAGAUAGUGCAAUGUUUGAUUCCCUUAAGCUUUUCUCCUUAACCCAUAUAACAAGCUUUGGGCCAAUGGCUCCCAAGUCAGUUGACUUUAGGGUAUUAGGUGUUAAAACACCCCUUCGGGCUUAAUUGCUUAGGUUAGGGAGGCUACGAAACCAAACUUAUCUAUGUUUUUAUUAUCAUCAAUAUUAUCAAAAAAAUUUUAUUUUUUUUGCAAAUUAUAUACUAUCCCUUUCCCUUAGUUGUUACCUUUAACAAAAGAACAUUAUUAAUGUUAAUAAUCCAACGUGCAACCCACAAUCAUAUGUUAAAGUGUGUGUGUGAAAAUGAAGGUUUAAGAAUACUUGUUAAAUGAGUAUAUGAGCAGAAUCAAGUGAUAACAAUGCGAGAGUUUGUAAACCUGAAUAUUUCAAGAAGUAUUAUGAUAGACCUUGGUAAUGAUACUUACUAAGAUGCGUCUCUAGAGUCAAUAAAAUUUCCUCCUUACUCUGUCAUCCUAAUAAUAAUUUUGUCAAAUGAUUUUAAUAAUAGCAAAAACAGUUAGUAGUAAGUUAGUUUUUUUUUUUUAACUACUACGCUCUCCCCCUAACCAAAACGAGACAUUGUCAUCAAUAUCUAUUUCUUUCCCUUCUCUUUUCUCCUCAACUCCUUCUUUUCUCCUUCAUGCUCAUAUAUGUAUUGUUCUCCUUUCUUCUUCUUUUUUUCUCAGUUUUUUUUAAUUAAUAUACUUUACAAAUUUGUUUUUUUUUUCUCUUCUUAACUUCACUUGCAACCACAUUAAGGUAAGAUUUUUCUUUUAUCUUUUUUCUUUUUUUUCAUGUUUUUUUCACUAAAUUUGUUUAUUUUAUUUUAUUUUUAAUUGUUUUUGUUAAUAAUUGUAUGAAUAUUGUUGUAGAGUAUGUUUUUCAUAUGAUUUUCUUCUUCUUUUGAAUAUUAUAGACUGUUAAUUUAUAUUAAUUUAAUUAUUUUAUAGUUUUGUAAAAUAAAAUUUUUAAAAUAUUUUAAAAUAAUUACUGACGGAAUUACAUAUGGUAUUUUUCCAAGGAAAAUACAGACGGAAUGAAGAGGAAAAAAAAAAUUUGCGCUCCUUUUCCGUCAGUAAAUCCAUCGGUAAUAAUAUUUUUUUAUUACCGAUGGACAAAAAAUUACCAACGAAAGAUUUACCGACGGAGCAUUUCUAUCAGUGAUUCUGUUGGUAAAUUAAUUACCAACGGAAUGAUAGUACAAAUACCAACGGAAAAUUCCGUUGGUAAAUCUAAAGAUUGUGGUAGUGAUUAAUUUAAAACACAAUCAUUUAAAGUAUAUUUAUGGAAAAUUGUAUUCUUUUCUCUUAUAAAAUCAUAGAGUUUAAUAUAAAAAUAAGAGUUCCAUCAUAUUAUAUGAGAUUGGAUAUUACAAAUACAGACAUACUAAAGAGUACGUUUCUCUUAAAUCGAACCCAUGUAUGACCACUUCGAAAUUACCAACUGCAACGUAAGAUUUAUGUCUAUUAAUGCCAAAUCGGAUUUGUUAACAAUCGAAUUAGACUUGUUAAUUAACUACCAAAUCACGUGCGGAUUAACUAUCAAAUCAUCCGAUUUUACCGUGGAAUCCUGAAGUUGUGCCGCUGAUUGUUCAGACUUUUUUUCUGGAAAGUCAAUGACAUCUUAGCCAAGUCAAAAACAUGUACAAAAAGAACAAUUUACAAAACAUUGGUAUCAAUGAUUUCACACUAACCUUUAAUUUCUCCAUUAAAUUAAAAAAUCUCAAGGAUAGGUAUCAACUUGUUGCCCUAUGAAUCGAUUCGGCAACCUAAUUUUUUUCAUAUAAAAUAAUUUUAUUUGAUGUGAUGUUUUUUUAAAAAAGAAAAAGAAAAAAAAAUGAUUUUAAAAUAGAUUUAGGCCGGCUCAUUACUUCAGAUAUUAGAUCGGGUGAUAAUUAUGAUUUCAAGAUCAAUGCUCACUUGGUGGAAUCUUGCCCUUCCAUCAUCGUCGAUCUUUUCCCUUCUUCUUGAAUCAGAAAAGGCAGGCUGCUUCUAUGCAGAAGAAAAUGAAGCUCAUAUUCUAAAACAAGAAAAAGAGGCAUUAGCCCAUCAUAUUAGCUAAGCUAAAAAUGAGGCUCAAAAUCUGACUCAAAUGAAAAGGUCUCAUCAACAUCAAAGCCCAUCUCCAGCCUCAAAGGUUUAGUUCUUCCAUCUUUUAAGUUGAAAAAUGUCAACUUAUCAAUUCCAUCCCUUAAUGCAACAUUAGCAUUGCAGACGCCAGUAAGGAUAAUAUAUGGUAACUCUUUUGUUAAAGCUUCAAAGUUCACUAUCUGCUUCUUCUUCCAUAUUUUUCUAUCAUAGUUCUCGAUGAUCCAUACCUCCAUGAAACGUUCGCCUUCCUCUUUACAUAUCAGGGCAAGAUUUCCCUCAAACUCACCGCGCAUCAUGAGCUUUUGAUGAUAAUUCUUACGAACCGGUUCGGGUAGCGAAAUCAUGCUAUAUAUCUCUUCCUUCACAUGGAAGGCAAAAAUUUUACAUCCAAACGUAAGCCAAUGAAGUGAACCACAAACAGAUACAGCAGGAUUAAAACCAAGGAAUGACUCGUUCAAAAUCACUUCCUUCAGUUGCUUCCAUGCAUGGAUCUUUGAAUCAAAAACCUCGCAUCGAAGAUUGUUAAAUCGAUAGGAAUCUCUAUUCGUACGAAACUUAGGCUGAGAAAAUCUCACAAUCUUCUGGGGCAUGAUAGUUUGGGUAGGAGCUGAACUGGGUGAGUCUUAUGCGAUGGCUUUUGCUAAGGCUGAUUUGGGCUCAGGACUCCUGGGCUGAAGUUUUGCUGGGUCAAUGGAGAACCCAUUGAUGUAUGUUCUUGAUAAUAAUAAUAAUAAUAAUUUAUGUUAUUUUCUUUUUGAUUUUUAGGUUUAUCUGUGUGUUCAUGGGAUACUUGUUAAGAGUAUAUUUUUUUAAUGAUAUUAACUGCUUGAGGAUCCUGAGCUAUGUUUUGUAAACUCAAAUUAUGCAUUAAAAAACAGAAAAGAGAGUUUUUAAUGUCUAUAUUUUGAAAUUUGACUUUUAUUAAAAAAAUUAAUUCAAAGUUAAUGUUAUUAAUUUAGUGGGUCUUAUAGAUUUGACCUGGAACUUAGCUAAUCGACAUCUGGCUGAGGCUGGGUGUAGAAAAAUUAAUUAUUUGAAAUUGAUGUUUUUUUUCCCCAGCCAUUUGCUCAGAUCUGUUUUUUACUGCAUGCAACAUGGUUUGACUAAUUGAAAGGAUUGGAUGUUAUAUAAUCAUAUAAUAGGCUGCUGAAUUAAGAUAUGCUUGCCAUCUCUUUCACCAAUCUUUCAGCCUAUUGUGCCUCAUUCUGUAACGAAAUUAAGUAUCUCAAUAAAUAAUGAGUUUGUGAUAGUACUUACAUGUGUUUUGAACCAUAUUACAAAUUAUUCAUAUUGUAAUCGAAAGAUUUAAGAUUUGGUUAGUUGUAAGUUAUUAAAUAAUAAAUAUUGACGAUGUUGGCUACGAGGUAUAAUUUGUGAUAUUACAUAACAGAAAUACGCAAUUAAUAACAAAGUUUAAGUAGUAUACUUACUGAAUAAAAUGUCUCAGUUCUUCGCAGUUAAAUAACACAUAAUUAUGUCAUUGUUUGAACUCUAUUUCAGACAAAUAUCUUCCCCUGUCAUCAUUUUUUGAUAUGGGUCAUCCAGAAUUUAAGAAUAUUGACAAUUUUCCACUCGAAGGCACUUCACCACCAUCGUCAUACCUUGGAACGCGAUUGAUUAUUAUUCUCAAAUAAAACUCGAAAUAGUACGAGAUAAAUGUUGAGAUCUCCUCAACAAUAUAGGCCUCACAUAUCAAUGCCUCAACAUACACCUUGUUUUUUACCUUCACCUUGGUUUUAUCAUUGUUUUUUAUUUGUUAUUCUUUGUUAAAUUUAAAUUUUAUUUUUGAAUUAAAUAGAAUUAAUUUAUGAAAAAGUAUAGGUGGGUGCUCACUUGUAUAUAUGUAGCAACAUGCUAAACAGUCAGGUCAUUUAUAGGAAUUCCAGCAUGGAUUAUCCAUUUCAUGUGAAUAUUCAUAUGUAUGGAAGUUGAAUAAGACGAAGUUGUGGUCAUGGUUGUUAAAAUCACGAGUCAACUCAUAAAAUCGUACGUUUUUACGAGUCAAUAUAGACUUUAAGUGCUAAAUCGUUCAUAAAACUCGGAAAUGAGCAAAAUCGAAUUUUAAACAGUUAAAAUCGGGCAAAAUCGCAUAAAAUCGCAAUUUCACCACCGAUUGAACGGGUUUGCCCGCAGGAAAUUUUAAUUCGAUGUUUCUGCCACGUGUCGUCCUCCUAUUGGCUCUAACAGAUCGAAGGCUCUCUUCUCUUCUCUUCACCGAAAUCAGUCUUCUCUCUUCUCUUCUCUUCACGUUCUCAGAAAUCCCUAAAUUGAAAAUCCCAAAUUUCACAUUCCUCAGGGCUCAGUGACUCAGUCUUUUCACCAGCCCUUGCUCGCCCCUCAUCUGCAUUAUUUUUCCAUCAUCGACGGCGACACGACGUUCUUUUCACCAGCCACUGUGAGAAUCACAGUCCACAGUCCACACAAGGUAAGUAACACUGUUUAUCUUGUUUCACCGCCUCCUGCACACAACACACAACAACACUGUUUAUCUUGUUUCUGUUAAAAACAGGAACUGUUCAGAUUGCUAGUUUAUAGAAGAAGAAUGAUUCUUAAUAAUUAAUGAAAACAACAGCAGCUUAAGUAGCUUUACAGAAGGAGUAAAAGAAGGAAAUAGCAGCCCACGUUUAACAACCUAUUACGUGGUAAUAGACUAAGUCAGAAUUUGAAAAACUAACUACUCCCUAAACAGCAGGGAUUUAUUAACGAAGCAGUAGCAUAGGAUUUGCUAACUGCACAACUAACCAUAAUCUAACAAUUUCUCCCUUAAACUGAAUGAACCUUGCAGUCAGUUUACAUAUGGUUCUUGACAAACACCUAACAUACUCUGCAGCUUCACAAAUGCAUCUAACUUCAGAGGUUUAGUCAUUAUAUCUGCAAUUUGGUCUUGACUAUUGCAAUGCACCAUUUCCACAGUUCCAGCCUUUGUAAGCUCACGCAAAAAAUGGAAACGAAUGUCUAUGUGCUUGCUGCGUCCAUGCUAUCAAAAAAAAAAAAAAAGCAAUCUGAACAGUUCCUGUUUUUAACAAUUUCUCCAGUCUUCAAGUGGGUUUUUUUUUGUCCCUGUCUGUUUCUUAGUUUGAUGUUAAUGUUAGUUUGAUUGAAUUCACAGGCUCCAACUUUGACUGUGCUCAGUGCUCAUUGGCCAUUGCUCACUGCUCAGAACAGACUCGACAGAGGUAAGCUUCCGUUUCUCUGCUCACUGCAAUAAUUUCUUACCAUUUCGUUUCUUUACAGUUUAAUGUGAAUUUUAGUGUGCUACUGUGACAAUGUUAAUAUUCUAGUGUGCUACUGUGACUGUCAUAGAAAAAAACGGAAUGGAAGUUAUUUUAUUACAUUAGAGCGGAAACACAUUGAAGAGUACUCCCCGGGCUCAAUCCCAUGGUACCAUUAUUUGGAAUGAAAAUCUGGAAGUGUUUGUAUGUUUUAACUUGUCAAAACAAAAGUAUAAUUCUAAAUCUGGAAAUGCUACUGAUAUAUCCUACAUUCAAAUUAAGGUGCUUGUUGCCGAUGUUAAGGCUCAAGGCUAUUGCUUUCCAUGUUGGAUUUGGCCGGCCAGUUGGUUCAUCUUGGCCCUUCAGAUUCUUAUUGAAGUAAAUCUACGGCAGCAUGCUUUGCCAAGUUUUUAUUUUGCUGGGGGAGCGGGCUUGGCAUUGCGAAUUAACCAUAAACUGCUACACGAUAGUUUAUUUGAUUCUGAGAUGUUCAUAAAGUUCAUGGUUGAUUCCUAGCAUACUACAGAACAAAGUUCUGAGCUAUCCAGAUAAUGAGUGUUGGUUUUCUUCGCACUGCAGAUCUUCUCCACGUCAGUUACAUCUCAUUUCUACCUCUCCUGUUGUUAAUCCAUGUUCAAAAGAGUGUGCCAUCUGGUAUUAAUUGUAAUGAUACAAGAAGUGGAUGGAAAAACUACAUCUUGGAUGGCCUCUACACUGCAAUUCCUACUGGGUUAAUAUUCUGUUAAUAUUUUAGUGUGCUACCAUUCCUUUUUUUUCUUGUCUUCCUGGAUUUGACUAGUAGAGCAAUACCUGCACAACAUAGUUAUAAAGUCCACCAGAAGCACCGUAAUGCUAAAAUCAAUUCUUGAAUGCUGGAGUUCAAAUUGGUAGGCUGUUUGUCUCAACUUUUUGUAGUUAAAGAGCUCUGAAGGAAUGAACUAAUCAGAAAUAAUUGAUUUCUAAUUGUGUCUUGGAUUAAAUUCAAUUGAAUCCUUGAGUUAUAGCGCUAUUUACACAACAGUCUUGGGUUUUUGGACUAUUCAAUUUGGUCAUUGAAUUUUAAUUUUCAAGCAAUUUUUCCUUGAAUCAGCUCCAAACUUUGGUAUUUUUUCAAUUACACCCCUGAUUCCUUUAAUUAAUUAAAUCAAAGAUUAAUUUAGUUCUCAAACUCAUUAAUUCUUCAAUUAAACUCUUGAUUUCAUUAAUAAAAUAAUCUAAAUUUUUAUUUGAAGGCUUGAAAUAUGUAUGAAUUUUUAUUUGAAGCAUGUUUUUUAUGUAUGAAUUUUUUAUUUGAAACAUGAAUUUUUUUUAAUGUAUUUUAAAAUUUCUUAUGAUUUUUUUACGAUUUUACGAUUCGAGUUUGUGUAAGGUUUUCCGUGCCGUGUUAAAAUCGCAAUUUUAACAACCUUGGUUGUGUUCAAUAACUGCUCCAUGUGCUUUCAGGUAGAUUUGUAAGAUCUAUGUCAAGCUGACAAACGACAGGCCUCUAACAUACGUAGAAAUAAAUUGUGAUAUUUUUAUGCAUAAAUAUAUAUCAAAUAACAAAAGGUUGGACAGACCAUGUGAGGUGCCAUUUAUUCCAAGUUAAUUAAUUACUCGUGGGUUCGGUCUUCUGAAAAUUGAUGAAUAUUAAAGUAUAUAUAAUUGAAAAGAAAAUGCAGGCACGCGUUUUAAAAGUAUGUCCACAUCACCUAGAGCAGGUUAAUACGACAGGAAAAUUAUAAGGUCAAUUGCUUACCAUCAACCUAGGGUCGGUAUUUAUUUCUCUUUCUUUUGAGAGUAAUAGCGUAGCUAUAAAACGCGGCCUAGACUAUCAGUCAAUUCAAGAUAUAAUAUAAAUAUUUUUUAUUACAGUAUUAUUUAAAAUUAAAUUAAAUCAAUUCUAAAUUUAUAUAAUCUGAAUAUUUAAUUGAGUCGACUUACUUAACCACGAGUAAAAAUAAUUUAUUGAAAGAUUUUCUAUUAGACAUGUGAGGAGUUGUAUUUCGCUUUUCAAAAUACAUAUAGGAUACAUCAUUAAAACCAUGAAUCAAAAGUAUACUUUUAGCUAGGUAUACUGAAUAUUUAUUUCCCCAUUAAAAUGGCACAAAAUAAAUGAAGUGAGAUUUUGGAGGCAUAAUUUGGUGAAUUAUAUAUAUAGAGGUCAUUAAUAUUCAAAAGCAAGGUUGUCAAUUCCGUUUCGGUAAAUGUUUUGUUUUUUCAAUUGGAAUGGAAUGUUUCAGUUUCGGAGUGUUUCGGCGUGCCGUUUCGGUGUUGUACUGUUCAUAUAUAUAUUCAACAAACAUAAUUCAAAUUCAAAAUAAAUUAAUUAUAAAUUAUGCAAUACAAACAAAAUGCCAAACAAAUAUAAUUUCAAAAUUUAAAAUAUUUAUAAAUAGUCAAGAUUAAAUAGAUCUUUAACUUAAAGUAAUUCAACUUAAACAAAAUAUCAAAAUAUUAUGAAAGUAAAAUGUUUUAACAAAAAUAUUUUAAAUAUAAAGUUAAGUCAAUGUUAUCAAGGCUAAUGGAUUCUAAAGCAUUCCUUGUUUUGCUCAAAUUCCUACAAAGUAUAAAUAUGAAAAAAAACAACAUGAAUAUAAACCAUAUAUAUUAGUGAUAAAUCUAAUUUUAAAAAAUUAAUAUCAUUAUUAAUGAAAAUAGUAAUAAUAAUUUUCAAUAUUAUUAUUAAUAUCAUUGUUAUUGAAAAUAGUAAUGAAAAAGAGUUUUUUAUAAUUGGGUGGUUUAAUUAAUUAAAUUGAACAAGGUUCAAUUUGAUUCAAUGGCUUUUCAAGAACGGAACGGAACAUGUAGAAUGAAACAAGAACGUUCUGAGCAGAAUUUAGCUGAAAAAUCCGGAACGGAUCGAGAUUUAAAAUGAAAUGAAAUUUGUUCCGUUUUAUUUUGUUUUUUGAAUUGGUAUGGAAAUAUUUCGGCCAUUCCGAAUAAGACGAAACGGAAUUGACUACCUUGUUCAAAAGGGAAAGAGUGAUUUGAUAAAAAUCAUAAGUAAAUUAAUGAAGUAAUACUCCAAUCAUUUCAAUAUAUUGAAAUAAAAAUCUGAAGGGGAAGAACUUAGGAAUAUACAUCGGAUGAGAAUUCAUAUACAUGAUUGUUCAAUUGCAAAGAAUACGAGCAAGACAUAUCUUUGUCCUUGUGGACGCAUGUGAUAUGUUUGUGCAAUCGACCUAUCAUUAACGUACCAAAUUAUAUAUUCCUUAUAAAGAAUCCUUGCUUUUAAUCGGAUUGAAUAAAUGAAUUUACGGUAUUUUUAAUAGUAAAAUAAAAAACAAUUUUAUAUAUUUAAUUUAAAUUGUUAACGGAUUGGGUGAUUUAUUCUUUCUUAAGUAGUACUAGAUUUCAAUUUCUGGGAUUCUAAAGAGAUGAUUUUUUUUCAUUUUUUUCUAUACAAAUUAAGAAACCAAACACAAUUUUCUCACAAACCAAACAAGUUCUAAUAGUUUUUUCUUAGACAAUUACUUUUACUAUUUUAUAAUUUAGUCGUUUUUACAUUUAUUUUCCAUGUCUUCUAAUGAAAGGUUGACAGAGUAAAGAGGAGUAGACAACGACGGGGAGAUUGACCAUUCUAGAGUCAUGUGCUUGAUAGCCAACAACCCUACAUCUAUAUGAAAAGUCAACAGAAAUACCCCAUGUAUUUCUUGGUGUAUAGCCCUACAGAAUAUUCUUAAUAUAUGGAUGUAAUAUUCGUUGAAUGUAGUUUUCUUUUUCUGGCUUUAUUUAUCAAAACUCUUAGAACCGUGAGGCUUACCUCCUGUACGUGGCUCUAGUCAUUUGACUCGGUCAUAUAUGCUACAGACAACAUCCAUGCAAUUAUUAAGGAACGAUUAUUUUGGUAACAAUUUUAACCAAUUUUCUAUGUGCUCCAAUUGAAUGGAAGAUUUCUGUGGGCGCCGCUGCUUUCUUAGGUUUUAAAUGUUCUUCCUUUAAAAAAUAAAUAAAUAAAUAUAUAAUCUUUGCUUGAUUGGCACUUGGAUUUUUACAUCGUAAUAUACUAUUUGGUAAUUGGAUUUUUAUCUGUAUUUGGUGUUGUUUUUUAAUAGGUUAGGUGAACCUGGAUUAUGUUAGAUUAAUUUUUACAUGGUUUAAUUUUAAACUAAAAAAUUUGAAUCAAAUUUUUUUUAUUUUUUUGAUAUCAUAUUCAAAAAAGAUUUAUUAAUUGUUCAUAUUAUUUUUAACUGAUCAAAUCAAUUAAAUCAAUCAUAAUAUUACGUUAUAGAAUUUUAGAUUUAAAUUGGCCAAAGAGUCAUAUAGAUAAAUUAUAAAAUUAUUUAUUGAAUCGAGUUUAAAAAUGAAAUUAAAUAAUUUUUUAUAAUUUAAAUAUUUUUAUUAUAUUUAAAAAGUUUGACUAGAUUCGUAGCUAGUUUUUUUUUUAUUCUUAUUUUUUUACAUUAUUUUGAAAGUCAACUGUCUUUUACACCAAACUACUGGUAUACAUCAUUAUCUUCUCGAAUUUCAAGUAUAAGAUUUUUCCCCUCCAUUGUUUUUAAGACUUGUCUUUCAAAUUAAAAAUUUUAUCCUCUUAGAGGUGAAAAAAAAAAUCAAAAAACUAAUUAAAUCAAGAAAAUUAGAAAAAAAAUAACCAAAAAAUCAAAUCAUGAAAAAAAUCCGAUUAAACUGAUUAAAAUUUUAGAAAAACUAACUGGUACAGUUCGGUUUUGGUUUUACAAGCCUGAAACCAAAAAAACCGAACCGAACCGAACCUAAACAAAAAAAACCGGAAAAAACCGAGUCAAAUCGAAAAUGGUCGAUUUGAACCGGUUUUGGUUGGGUUUCUGUUUUUUUUAAAAAAUAACAUUAGGUUUGGUUAUUGUUUUUAAUAAAAACCAAACCAAACCGAAAAUAAUUACCUCUACUCCAUUGUUUUAAUUUCUUCUAAAAAAAUCAAUCUAAAGUAUUCAAUGCUCUAGAAUACGGCUCCAUGAUAUCACAAUAUUGCUAAGAAACACACAUUAGCAUAUUAAUUUAAAACACAAUCAUUUCAAGUAUGUAUAUGGAAAAUUGUAUUCUUUUCUCUUAUAAAAACAUAGAAUUUAAUAUAAAAAUAAGAAUUCCAUCAUAUUAUAUGAGAUUGGAUAUUACAAAUACAGACAUACUAAAUAGUUUCUCUUAAAUCGAACUUGUUGUCAUAAUUUAUUUUUAGAUUAUUCUUAGAUUCAUUUUUUUUCUUUUAAAAAAUAAAAUACAAAAAAAUAAAAAAAAAUAUUAUAAAAAAAAGAUGUUAGAAUGUUUAGAAAUGAUCAAAAAUUAAUUGAGGAGGUUCAAAAAUAUAAAAAUAGAUGGCGACUCUCAAUCUAUAUUUUACUGAUACGAGACAAAAAUACCUGUCCUUUUAUAUUUGCCAGAUAUACCUUUAUAUUUUUUUAAAAUAAUAAAUUAUCAUCACGACGCCGUACACAUACGGCACCCGUCCAUAACUACUUCGAAAUUACCAACCGAAACGUAAGAUUUAUGUAUAUUGCCAAAUAUGAUUUGUUAACAAUCGAAUUAGACUCGUUAAUUAACUACCAAAUCACCUGCGGAUUAACUAUCAAAUCAUCCGAUUUUACUGUGGAAUCCAUGUCCUGAGGUUGUGCCGCUAAUUGUUCAGACCUUUUUUUCUGGAAAGUCAACACCUUCUUUUUUUCUUUUUCUUUUUCUUUUUCCUUUCAAAGAAUUCAAUGACAUCUUAGCCAAGUCAAAAAAAAUGUACAAAAAGAACAAUUUACAAAACAUUGGUAUCAAUUUCCGCUUCUUGAUCGUCAAAGAAAAAAAAAUGAUUUUAAAAUAGAUUUAGGCCGGCUCAUUACUUCAGAUAUUAGAUCGGGUGAUAAUUAUGAUUUCAAGAUCAAUGCUCACUUGGCGAACGUCAUAUCCCAAUUUCCGCUUCUUGAUCGUCAAAGAAAAGCUUCCAUAUUUGAAUUUUCUCCUAAAAACACGGUAAUCAUUUUCAACCAUUAAAUAAAAAGACAUUUAUUUUCCAUAUAAACACUUUCUCCUCGCUUAACUAAAAUCCACACAAAGGCAAUCAUUCUCUCUUACACUAAAUAAAAUGGCAAAACCAGCCCUUUUAGCCUUCCUUGUAAUUCUUAUCUUCAGUACAACUUCUUCUUCUUUCUCUGCCACGGCUGAUGGUGAUGAUUCAGUUUAUGAAUCUUUCCUUCAAUGCCUAGAAAGCAACACAAACCCACAAGACGAAAUCUCAAAACUUGUUUACUCACAAUCUAGCGCAUCUUACACUUCAGUUUUAAGAGCUUACAUAAGAAACGCACGUUACAAUACCUCAGCAACUCCGAAGCCAGUUGUCAUUGUAACUCCAUCUCAAAUAUCCCAUGUUCAGGCCACGGUUAUUUGCACAAAAAAGGUUGGUUACCAGCUCAAAAUCAGAAGUGGUGGCAUGAUUAUGAUGGGAUUUCCUACGUUUCUGACAUGCCCUUUUUCGUUCUUGACCUGUUUAAUCUAAGAUCUAUUGAAGUUAAUGUCAACGAUGAGUCUGCUACUGUUCAAGCAGGGGCUACUCUUGGUGAACUUUAUUAUAAAAUCUGGGAGAGCAGCAAAGUUCAUGGUUUUCCUGCGGGGGUGUGUCCCACGGUUGGUGUUGGUGGGCAUUUAAGUGGUGCGGGUUAUGGCAAUAUGUUAGGGAAAUAUGGGUUGUCGGUUGAUAAUGUAGUGGAUGCAGAAAUUGUUGAUGUUAAUGGGAAACUUCUUGAUAGGAAAGCAAUGGGGGAGGAUCUUUUUUGGGCAAUUCGUGGAGGUGGCGGUGGGAGUUUUGGGGUUAUAAUUUCUUACAAGAUCAAGCUUGUUUCUGUUCCUGAGACAGUUACCGUUUUCAGAGCAGAAAGAACACUUGAACAGAAUGCUACUGAUGUUGUUUACAAGUGGCAAUUAGUUGCUCCUCAAACAAGUAAUGAUCUUUUCAUGAGGAUGCUCUUGCAGCCUGUGACAAGGAACGGUAAUCAGACUAUUAGAGCGUCAAUUGUGGCAUUGUAUUUAGGGAAUUCUGAUAGUCUUGUGGCUUUAUUGGGAAAAGAUUCCCUGAAUUGGGAUUGAAGAAGGAGGAUUGUAAUGAGACAAGUUGGAUUCAGUCUGUGAUGUGGUGGGAUGAGUCUCAAAAUCUUGGAAAGUCACCUGAUGUUCUUUUGAUAGGAAUCCUAAUGAUGCCAAAUUCUUGAAGAGGAAAUAGAUUAUGUUCAGAAUCCAAUAUCAAAAGAUGGGUUGGAAUGGUUGUGGAAAAAGAUGAUCGAAGUAGGCAAGACUGGAUUGGUUUUCAAUCCUUAUGGUGGUAGAAUGAAUGAAAUCCCUGCCUCAGAAACUCCAUUCCCUCACAGGGCAGGCAAUUUGUUCAAGGUGCAGUAUUCAGUGAAUUGGGAAGAAGCUGGAAGCGAGGCAGACAAGAAUUUCAUGACUCAAAUAAGGAGGCUUCACAGUUACAUGACCCCAUUUGUUUCCAAGAAUCCAAGGAGUUCAUAUCUGAACUAUAGGGAUCUUGACAUUGGUGUUAUGGAGGCUGGAAAAGAUAGUUUCGAACAGGGCAGUGUUUAUGGCUACAAGUAUUUCAAUGACAAUUUUGAUAGGUUGGUGAAAGUAAAGACUGCUGUUGAUCCAGAAAAUUUCUUCAGGAAUGAGCAGAGCAUCCCUACUUUACCAAGUAAGGCAUAGAAGAUUUCUAGUAGUGAUUUUAACCAAAUGGUUUGUAAUAGAAAUAAUAAUCUGUAGUUGCUUUAUUUUCAAUUGGAAAGCCACAUGAUUGCUUCUUGGUGGAAUCUUGCCCUUCCAUCAUCGUCGAUCUUUUCCCUUUUCUUUAAUUUAUAAAAUAAAUCUUACUUGAGGGUAAUGCAAAUCUGUGAUCUUGACAAUAGCAGAUCUUACCCCUUCUUCAAGGCUGAAAGGUGAUAAAGACCUUGAUGCCAAGUGUAUGCUUUUUCUUCAUUUGAUCUUUCGUGAAUGAAUGGUUACUUGUUUUGCCAUAGAGCAGCUUUAUCUACAGUCACAAAUCACAAAUCGCAAUAUUACAGUGCCAAUCAUAUAUGAAAGUUUCAAGGUUCUUUCCAUUUUGGUUCUGAUUAAAAAGCUGUUGAUUGCUUACAUCCCAUGAUUUUUGCCAUGUUUUCGAGGAAGGAACAUAUGCUCUUAAGUCCAAAUCCGUACAAAAGGCUUACAUAUGUGCUUGUAGUCUCCUGGGUCAUCCACACACGAUAAGCCUCCACAUGGCUGACAAUGUUGAGGCUUGAAAACAAUUGCUUUUGUCCAACUAGUUUAGAUUCUUCACACAUCUCUUAACAGAUAGCAGUCCGACAACUUGUUCCAGCAGCAAAAUCCCACCACCAACAACCAGCUUACAUCUCAUGAACCAAAUCAUCUUCUUUUUUCAAACAAAAUGUUGGUGAUGAAGAUGAACUCAUAUUCUAGGUAAUAUAUAUGUGCUUUAUGAUUGACACCACAUGACGAGUGUCGUUUCUCAUCAAUCUUUUGUGCCCCAGUUGAAUCAUUUAUCCUCACAGAUGAAUUUAGGUCCUAUUGGCUUUAACAGCUAUACAUCACAUGUGGCUCGUAUUGAUGCCGACACUCAAUUUAAUUCUAAUAGACUGAACUUGAAUCAAAUGAAGGCUUGUACACAUGCUUUUUCUUCCUGUUGUAUGUCCUGCUCAGACUCAGUUUCUUGCUUCCUGGUAACUGACGUUGUUCUGUUAUUGCAGAUGUAGAACAUGACUCAGGGGUGACUGCUGGAGGCUCUACUUCAAGGUCUAUAUCAUCCAUGUUGAUUCUAAUAGUAAUCUUGACAUACUUUGCUUUUCUUUAAGGAUCAGAGGAUGAUGAUGUGUUCGUAGCUAUUCUUGGAUUUCUCUUUUCUCUUGUUUGGCAUUCCAAGUGGGAAACUCAGAGGGCUUUUCAAUUCCAUUUGGAGGGGGAAAAAAAAUGGAAUCCAGUGGCAUUCCAGUUUCUUGUUUGAUCCUAUUUAUGAAAGGACUAUAAUUUGCCAUGGAAUGGUCACGGCUCAGUGACAACGACCUGAUAUCAGAUGGUUUGGUGGUCCUGAAUUUAGGCAGUGAAGAUAUGUGGCUAAAACUGGUUGUGAAUUAGGGGCUAGCCCAAAGGCCACAAACAUCUACCGGGCCCUUCUUCUUUAAUCAGAAAAGGCAGGCUGCUUCUAUGUAGAAGAAAAAUGAGGCUCAUAAUCAAAAACAAGAAAAAGAGGCAUUAGCCCAUCAUAUUAGCUAAGCUAAAAGUUUAGGAUGUAUAAUCAUAUUUUGUUUUUUUUUUGUAAAUCAAUAUCAAAAUCUUCUAAAAAAGAAAUUAACACUAGCUAGAGAAACAAAUUUAAACUAUCAAUCAUAGGUAAUUUUCCAAAGGGACUAAAUUUUUAUUUGAUUGUACAUUGUCUUACAAUUAAACAAUCUCAUAUAUUGGCAGAAAAAUUGAAUACCAUAGGGAUAGCAAUCAUAAACCAACGGUCCAACAACAGAACAUUGAAAUCAAUAAAAUUCUUUGCCAUAAAAACAAUGAACGAACGACUCCUAAAUAGAUUGAGAGUAGUGUUAGACACUAAAAAUCUAAAGAAUUAAACCAACUUAAUCAUGAAAAACUUUCUUGGUUUCAAUUCUCUUGUUCUUGAUUUCCUCUUGAAUAUUCCUCCAACACAGACCCAUCCACAUAAGGCUCAAAAUCUGACUCAAAUGAAAAGGUCUCCACAACAUCAAAGCCCAUCUCCAGCCUCAAAGGUUUAGUUCUUCCAUCUUUUAAGUUGAAAAAUGUCAACUUAUCAAUUCCAUCCCUUAAUGCAACAUUAGCAUUGCAGACGCCAGUAAGGAUAAUAUAUGGUAACUCUUUUGUUAAAGCUUCAAAGUUCACUAUCUGCUUCUUCUUCCAUGUUUUUCUAUCAUAGUUCUCGAUGAUCCAUAGCUCCAUGAAACGUUCGCCUUCCUCUUUACAUAUCAGGGCAAGAUUUCCCUCAAACUCACCGAGCAUCAUGAGCUUUUGAUGAUAAUUCUUGCGAACCGGUUCGGGUAGCGAAAUCAUGCUAUAUAUCUCUUCCUUCACAUGGAAGGCAAAAAUUUUACAUCCAAACGCAAGCCAAUGAAGCGAACCACAAACAGAUACAGCAGGAUUAAAACCAAGGAAUGACUCGUUCAAAAUCACCUCCUUCAGUUGCUUCCAUGCAUGGAUCUUUGAAUCAAAAACCUCGCAUCGAAGAUUGUUAAAUCGAUAUGAAUCUCUACCCGUACGAAACUUAGGCUGAGAAAAUCUCACAAUCUUGUAAUGCAAAGGUCUUGAACUUAACACAAUCAUACCAAUUGCUUUAUUCCUAUAUCGAGUCCUUGGAUUCGGAAUUUGUUUCCAUUGUUUUGUAGUGGGCUUGCACACAUAAACCUUCGGAAUGUUUCGAUAUGUUGGCGGGAAAUGCGUGCAAAGCAAGAGACCUUGGUUUGUCGAAGCCUCAAUCUUUACAGAACAAGGUAAGAAAUCGAGGGAUAGUUCAGGACGCGAAGCUGUAUUGUCAGGAGACAAAAAGAUAGAAGAAAAUCCUGACCUUAUUAUUCUUUGCAUGACAAAGCCAGAUAUGCUUUCGGUUCUCUGGCAAUGGACAUUCUUUGAAGUGGAUUCAUCAGUAUCCGAAUCAAGAUUCUGAGUAGAACCCAUUAACGUAGUUGGUGUUAAGCUUAAAAGACGUAAAAAAAUUAGCAGGGGAGAUUUCAGAGGAACUAUUGAGAUAUAGAAGAAGAAGGUAAACAAGUUGUGGUAGCGGCUCAUGGAUUUAUAUGGAAGAAGAAAGUAACGUAUAUGGUAGCUAGUCAGUGUAAUAUAAGGAUUCAUCAUUAAGUAGGAAACCUAAUAGAAUUCCUUUCCGUUUCCUACGAGGACAAGGAACGUUGGAAAUCGAAAGCAUUCUGUUUCCUAUUUCCAGCAGUCUUAUGCGAUGGCUUUUGCUAAGGCUGAUUUAGACUAGUACUCCUGGGCUGAAGUUUUGCUGGGUCAAUGGAGAACCCAUUGAUGCUUGUUCUUGUUGAUAAUAAUAAUAAUAAUUUAUGUUAUUUUCUUUUUGGUUUUUAGGUUUAUCUAUGUGUGUUCAUGGGAUACUUGUUAAGAGUAUAUUUUUUUAAUGAUAUUAAGAUGGUUGAGGAUCCUGAGCUAUGUUUUGUCAACUCAAAUUAUGCAUUAAAAAAACAGAAAAGAGAGUUUUUAAUAUGUCUAUAUUUUGAAAUUUGACUUUUAUUACAAAAAAUUAAUUCAAAGUUAAUGUUAUUAAUUUAGUGGGUCUUAUGGAUUUGACCUGGAACUUAGCUAAUCUACAUCUGGCUGAGGCUGGGUGUAGAAAAACUAAUUUGAAAUUGAUUGUAUUAAUCUAGUGGGUGUAAUCGAUCCAGACCAUCUCUUUCACCAAUCUUUCAGCCUAGUAAGCCUAAUUCAUUAACACCUCUAAACCGGUCAGUAUGGAAUCUGUCACGCUGAUUUAAUGGCUGAUGCAUUCAAGAAAAUAGAAAAGUCUUGUAAUAAAGUUCUUCAUUUUGGACUUUGAAGUAUUCUUUGAAUGAAACAUUGUGAUCAGCAUAAAUUGGCAAGUGGCUAUAAAGAUGCAACUAACCUUGUGUUGUUGCAUCACAAUCUGAAGGGAAAAAAAAAGGAAAGAUCAAAGUUCAGGAUGCGUCUUUUACUUCUUUUACUUUUAGUCUCAUUAGCUCGGUCUGCAAAUUCAAGUUCAGCUCAUGAGAUGUUCUUGCAAUGCUUUUCAUCUCAUAUGCAGCAUGCCAGAUCAUAUUCAGAAGUUAUCCUUACUAAAAAUAGCUCUGCUUACUCAUCGGUUCUGCAGUCAUCCAUUCGAAAUUUCAGAUUCUUGAACACUUCAACUCUGAAACCUCAAUUUAUAAUCACUCCAUUUAAUGAGUUUGAAAUCCAAGCAGCCAUUGUUUGUGCCAAGAAAUAUGAUAUGCAAAUAAGAGUUCGAAGUGGAGGCCACGACUACGAGGGCCUGUCUUUCCUGUCUUAUCAAGAAUUUGUACUUAUUGAUCUUGCUGAACUUAGUUCCAUCAGUGUUGACAUCGAGAGUGAGACGGCAUGGAUCGGGGCAGGCGCAAGCAUAGGAGAGUUAUAUUACAGAAUUGCGGAGAAGAGCAAGGUCCAUGGCUUCCCGGCAGGUAGCUGUCCUACGGUGGGAGUUGGGGGACACUUCAGUGGAGGUGGAUUUGGGACCAUAUUCAGGAAGUAUGGCUUAGCAGCUGAUAAUGUUAUUGAUGCUAGGAUAGUUGAUGCUAAUGGAAGAAUUCUUGAUAGAGAAUCAAUGGGAGAAGAUCUUUUUUGGGCCAUUCGAGGAGGGGAGGGGCUAGCUUUGGAGUCGUUUUCUCAUGGAAAGUUAGAUUGGUUUCGGUUCCUCCAACUGUAACUGUUUUUAGUAUCGAAAAGACCUUACAGCAAGGUGCAUCCAAUCUUCUUCAUAAGUGGCAAAGGAUCGGAGACAAGCUUCAUGAAGACCUUUUCCUCCAUGCUACUGUAGCAGUUGCUACCUCUAUCCCCUAUGGCAAUAAAACUAUUCAAGUUUCGUUUGCGUCAUUGUUUCUUGGCAGGGCGAAGGAGCUUCUCCCUGUGAUGCAAGAUAGCUUCCCUGAGUUGGGCUUAACGCGCGAAAACUGCAGUGAAAUGAGUUGGAUCCAAUCUGUCCUCUAUUAUGGUGGCUUCUCACCGAGUGACUCCUUAGAUGUUCUACUCAGCAGGACUGCUCAGUUUAAGGGAUUCUUCAAAGGGAAAUCGGAUUACGUCAAGGAACCUAUUCCAGAAACUGGCCUGGAAGGGCUGUAUAAAAGGCUCGUUGAAGAGGAGACAUCGAUGUUGAUCUUGACACCUUACGGAGGGAGAAUGAGUGAGAUUUCGGACUCGGAAACACCUUUCCCACACAGAAACGGGAAUAUUUUCGAAAUCCAGUACAUUAUAACGUGGGAUGUGGAAGAGGAAACAGAGAAGAACCUAAAAUGGAUGAGAAAACUGUAUGCCUACAUGGCCCCUUACGUUUCAAACUCACCAAGAGCUGCCUAUCUCAACUACAGAGAUCUUGAUUUGGGCAGGAAUAAUGAUGGAAAUACAAGCUUUGCAAAGGCAAGUGUUUGGGGCUUGAAGUAUUUCAAGAACAACUUCAAGAGACUAGCGCGGGUUAAGACUGCAACAGAUCCUUCCAAUUUCUUCAGGAAUGAACAAAGCAUUCCUGUGCUGCAAAGAAAAAGGAACCUCAAGUAAACUUAAACCCAAGAUAUUGUACAACAUAUUGGUAACAACAGGAUAGAUAUUAAUAAACUAUUUUAAGUUAAAGUCAAAAGCCUCAGAAAUGCUAAAUCUCAAUUUAUUGUUUGCUUCCGGUUGUAGUUUUGCCCUUUCAGCGUGAAAGAAUCAUCGCAAUUUCAGU